rnacentral:lncRNA from 1 species
UACUGAUUAGUCAAAAAUAAAUGCUCGAAUAAAAUUUAUUUAAUAAACAAGUUAUCUAACCCAAUUAAAAAUAUGUCAAGCCUGGAUCGGAUCUGCAAUUAUGUGUGAACCCAACGUAUACAAGCCAACGUAUCAUAAAUGGAUCCGCGAGUCGACCUGAUUAAGCCUGAAUAUUAAAUGGUUCUAAAGAGGUUAAAAUGGAUUAGAAAUCUAAACUUGAACGUGAC